UUUUGUCGAAGGACAGACCUUAAUUCACAAAA
rfam:Cryomorphaceae bacterium BACL7 MAG-121220-bin8 contig01168_1_121220-bin8, whole genome shotgun sequence.